CCCCGCUGGACUUAAGCAUAUCAAUAAGCGGAGGAAAAAGAAACCAACAGGGAUUACCUCAGUAACGGCGAGUGAAGCGGUAACAGCUCAAAUUUGAAAGCUAGCUCUUUUAGGGUUCGCAUUGUAAUUUGUAGAAGAUGCUUCGGGUGUGGCCCCGGUCUAAGUUCCUUGGAACAGGACGUCAUAGAGGGUGAGAAUCCCGUAUGUGACUGGGUGCUUUCGCUCAUGUGAAGCUCUUUCGACGAGUCGAGUUGUUUGGGAAUGCAGCUCAAAAUGGGUGGUAAAUUUCAUCUAAAGCUAAAUAUUGGCCAGAGACCGAUAGCGCACAAGUAGAGUGAUCGAAAGAUGAAAAGCACUUUGGAAAGAGAGUUAAACAGUACGUGAAAUUGUUGAAAGGGAAGCGCUUGCAACCAGACUUGCGCGCUGAUGAUCAUCCGGGCUUCUGUCCGGUGCACUCGUCUGCGCUCAGGCCAGCAUCGGUUUCGGUGGUGGGAUAAAGGCCUUGGGAAUGUAGCUUCUUUCGGGGAGUGUUAUAGCCCUCGGUGCAAUGCCGCCUACCGGGACCGAGGACCGCGCUUCGGCUAGGAUGCUGGCGUAAUGGUUGUAAGCGACCCGUCUUGAAACACGGACCAAGGAGUCUAACAUCUAUGCGAGUGUUUGGGUGUCAAACCCAUACGCGUAAUGAAAGUGAACGGAGGUGAGAACCCUUAAGGGUGCAUCAUCGACCGAUCCUGAUGUCUUCGGAUGGAUUUGAGUAAGAGCAUAGCUGUUGGGACCCGAAAGAUGGUGAACUAUGCGUGAAUAGGGUGAAGCCAGAGGAAACUCUGGUGGAGGCUCGCAGCGGUUCUGACGUGCAAAUCGAUCGUCAAAUUUGCGUAUAGGGCGAAAGACUAAUCGA
rnacentral:rRNA from 1 species